CCAAAAGCGUAUAUUAAAGUUGUUGCAGUUAAAAAGCUCGUAGUUGAACCUUGGGCUUGGUUGGCCGGUCCAUCUUUUUGAUGCGUACUGGACCCAACCGAGCCUUUCCUUCUGGCUAGCCUUUUGGCGAACCAGGACUUUUACUUUGAAAAAAUUAGAGUGUUCAAAGCAGGCCUUUGCUCGAAUAUAUUAGCAUGGAAUAAUAGAAUAGGACGUUAUGGUUCUAUUUUGUUGGUUUCUAGGACCAUCGUAAUGAUUAAUAGGGACGGUCGGGGGUAUCAGUAUUCAGUUGUCAGAGGUGAAAUUCUUGGAUUUACUGAAGACUAACUACUGCGAAAGCAUUUACCAAGGACGUUUUCAUUAA
rnacentral:rRNA from 1 species